rnacentral:rRNA from 1 species
GACGAAUGCUGGCGGCGUGCUUAACACAUGCAAGUCGAACGGAAAGGCCUGCUUUCCCUUGUGGAUUGCGGGUACUCGAGUGGCGAACGGGUGAGUAACACGUGGGUGAUCUGCCCCCAACUUGGGUAUAAGCCUGGGAAACUGGGUCUAAUUCCCGAUAGGACUGCAGGGUGGUGCCUGUGGUGGAAAACGAUUUUCUAGUGGUUGGGGAUGAGCUCGCGGCCUAUCAGCUUGUUGGUGGGGUAAUGGCCUACCAAGGCGGCGACGGGUAGCCGGCCUGAGAGGGUGGACGGCCACAUUGGGACUGAGAUACGGCCCAGACUCCUACGGGAGGCAGCAGUGGGGAAUAUUGCACAAUGGGCGGAAGCCUGAUGCAGCGACGCCGCGUGGGGGAUGACGGCCUUCGGGUUGUAAACUCCUUUCGACCGCGAGGAAGCCACCUGGUUGGAAGGGUGGUGACGGUAGUGGUAGAAGAAGCACCGGCUAACUACGUG